rnacentral:rRNA from 1 species
AUUGAACGCUGGCGGCAGGCCUAACACAUGCAAGUCGAGCGGAUGAAGGGAGCUUGCUCCUGGAUUCAGCGGCGGACGGGUGAGUAAUGCCUAGGAAUCUGCCUGGUAGUGGGUGAUAACGUCCGGAGACGGGCGCUAAUACCGCAUACGUCCUGAGGGAGAAAGUGGGGGAUCUUCGGACCUCACGCUAUCAGAUGAGCCUAGGUCGGAUUAGCUAGUUGGUGGGGUAAAGGCCUACCAAGGCGACGAUCCGUAACUGGUCUGAGAGGAUGAUCAGUCACACUGGAACUGAGACACGGUCCAGACUCCUACGGGAGGCAGCAGUGGGGAAUAUUGGACAAUGGGCGAAAGCCUGAUCCAGCCAUGCCGCGUGUGUGAAGAAGGUCUUCGGAUUGUAAAGCACUUUAAGUUGGGAGGAAGGGCAGUAAGUUAAUACCUUGCUGUUUUGACGUUACCAACAGAAUAAGCACCGGCUAACUUCGUG